UCACAGAGGUUUAAUUACCUCUUUUCCCCUCACGAGAAAAAAGGCGGGAAAACCCCCCAUAGAUAGGGGGCUCUGAGGCGGCUUCCGGUGGGGCUCUGAGGGGAUUUCCGGUGGGGCUGUGAGGCGGCGGCGGGAGCGACGCCUUCCGCGCUAAUAAACAGCCAGAAACCGCCAGUUCUUGCUCUUAAUUAGCGCCAAAUCGUGAUUAAUUGCUCUUUCCUAGGCUUAAUUAGGCCUAAUUGCCCUCACGGAGGUUUAAUUACCUCCUUUCCCCUCACGUGAAAAAAGGCGGGAAAACCGCCGCUGACCACAGAGCUGGGAGGACCCGCGGGGUAGAGCGCCCCCCGCGCAUGCGCACAGACAGCGGGAGGCCUCCAGCGCUCCCUAUGGAACCAUAGAGUGGCGCGGGGCAGAGCGGCUCCGUGAGGCAGCGCUGAGGAGACUUCCGGUGCGGCUCUGAGGGGAUUUCCGGCGCGGCCGCCAUGGCGGAGAUCCCGUUCACUCGGGUGGUGUCGGUGACCAGCGCGGACCCGCGGCACCCGGCGGAGAAUCUGCUGCGGCCCGAGGAUGGCGGGAAGUGGAGGGGAGCGGCGGCGGGGGAGAAACAGCUGAGCGUGGUGCUGGAGGUGGGACUGGCGUAAACUGGGGGGGACUGGGAGGGGACUGGGAGAGGAGUGGGAUAAACUGGGAGGGGACUGGGAUGAACUGGGAGGGGAUUGAGGGGGACUGGGAUGGACUGGGACAAACUGGGAGAGGACUGGGAGGUGAUUGGGAUAAACUGGGAGGGGAUUAGGAAGGACUGGGGUGGACUGGGAAGGGAUUGAGAGGGACUGGGAUGGACUGGGAAUAACUGGGAUAAACUGGGAGGGGAUUUGGGGGGACAGGGAUGAACUGGGAGGGCAUUUAGAGGGACUGGGAUGGACUGGGAGGGUAUCGAGAGAGACUGGGAUAAACUGGGAGGGACUGGGAUGGGACUGGGAUAAAUUGGAAGAGGAUUUGGGGGGAUUGGGAGGGACUGGGAUGGACUGGGAGGGUAUCGAGAGGGACUGGGAUAAACUGGGAGGGGAUUGAGAUGGACUGGGAUAAACUGGGAUGGACUGGGAGGGGGUUUGGGG
rnacentral:lncRNA from 1 species